rnacentral:tRNA from 1 species
GCCUGGGUGGCUCAGUUGGUUAAGUGGCUGACUUCAGCUCAGGUCACGAUCUCAUGGUUCGUGAGUUCAAGCCUCGCAUCAGGCC